GUUAGGAAUAUUGGACAAUGGGCGCAAGCCUGAUCCAGCCAUGCCGCGUGAGUGAUGAAGGCCUUCGGGUUGUAAAGCUCUUUAGCCGAUGAUUAUAAUGACUGUAGUCGGAAAAUAAGCCCCGGCUAACUUCGUGCCAGCAGCCGCGGUAAUACGAAGGGGGCGAGCGUUAUUCGGAAUCACUGGGCGUAAAGCGUGCGUAGGCGGCUUUGCAAGUUGGGAGUGACAGCCCAGGGCUCAACCCUGGAAUGGCUCUCAAAACUGCAAGGCUCGAAUUCGGGAGAGGAUAGCGGAAUUGUCAGUGUAGCAGUGAAAUGCGUAGAUAUUGACAGGAACACCAGUGGCGUAAGCGGCUAUCUGGACCGAUAUUGACGCUGAGGCACGAAAGCGUGGGGAUCAAACAGGAUUAGAUACCCCAGUAGUCC
rnacentral:rRNA from 1 species